AUUGAAGAUGAAUGAAAUACCAAAAAGUGAAACUACGCCUGACAAUUAUUGAACAGUUGUUUUUGUAGAUAAGUAUUAGUGGUAUGGAAGUGACAAUAAAUUUAUUGUAUAAAUUACAUACGGGCAGAUCAUACAAAAAUGAUAACAAUGUAAUAAUUAACACGAACCCCAAAAAAACAAACAAAAAAAACCAACAAAAAACAACAACCUUACCGAAGACCGAGUUGUUCAUGAGUUUGAAGAAGUUCUUCUCGAAAGCAGUCUUGGCUUGUUAUCGCAUUUUGGUGUUGAACUCAACGUAGGGUUUCAUGAAAGCCUCUUGUUGGAACUCUAAUACUUUAUGUAUUUUUUUCAAUUUUAGACCGAGUUGGAGAUACAGUUGCAGGUAGUCCAAAUAAUUGUACGUUGACGGAUUUUUUUAGAUUUUUGAUAUGGCAAAUCCUUCACGUACAAAUUGUUUAGUAUCAAAAGUGGGUAGUUGUUCCGAUCAGGAUUCCGGGUUAAAGCAUAUAGCGUCUAUAAAAUAUCAUAAAAACAAGAAAUAUUACCAGAUAAUGUUAUUUUACAUAAUUUCCGUACACAAAAAAUAAAUAUCCAACUUAUAAUUAUGAGUUUGACGGCUUUUCUUCAUUUCAUUCUGUCAAAACAUAACGAUAUAUACAUGAAGGGCACCUGCAAGGCUUCAGGGCAGAGUUUUAAAUCGCUCGGAACAUUUCGGCCAUGGCCGAGUUGUUACGAUUGUAUAACGAGGUCUUUCUCGAAGCUUUGUCGGAGGAGGCCGAGUUCUUACGAUUGUAACGAGUUGUCCCCCUUCGCAUAAUUGUUGUCAGUGUCAGUCAACUUUCGUUUUGUUGGAAAGGUAAACAACUUGUUUUAAUGCAUGAAAUGCUUGUUUAGUGCAAAAUAACAUUUCACUUACAUGGUAAAAUAUGAAAAUAACUCUUUAUGAUCAAUUUCAACCAUAAAAUACUUCACUUAAGAGAAUUUCAAUAUUUUUAAAACACCCCCGUUUUUUGCACAUUCCCGUUUAGACGUUAGGGAUUGGAAGAAUCCCGUAUAACACGUCUAUUAUUUUAGACUACAGUUGCAGGUUGCGAUAGUGAAGUACAUAAUUAUGUUUGUUUUCUAAAGUGGUGAGUAAUUUUUCCACCUUUGCUCUGGGUGGAAGUUCCUCACUGUUGUGUAAAUGUUUCAACACAUGUUGAGCAUAAGGAGAUAAUUUUUCAUUGGGUGUGAAUUUACGUUCCGGAGCUAAUGGGUAGUCGUUAUGACUGUCAUGUAAAUGUUUUGGAUAUUCUAGAUCUACUUCUAGAAUAUACCCCUUAGAUCCAUCCUCUGGUUCAAAAGUAUCAAUUUCUUCCUUCUGUAAAAACUUAAAGAAUGUUACUAACUCGGAAACUCAAUAGUAAAUGAACUAGUUUGUCAAAUGUUUUGGUGGGAAAAUAUUCCACCAAAAUGUGAAUUUGGCGGGAAAAAAGUUCGCCAAACAUUUGAAUUUUAAACAUUUGAAUUUCAAAUACUAUAGGGAAUCCAUUUCAAUUUGUUAAUUAUCUUUGUUUUUCCCCUUUUGUUUUGUUUUGACUUUAUUUCUUUGAGAUUCUCAUUUUUUUUCUUAUUUUUUUUAGGUUUUUCAAAAAACUUGUUUAAACGUUUCACGACUAGUCUUUUCUGUAAAUUUCCGUCAUUUUGAAUUGAUUUUUUCUGUAACUUCCCGCCAUUUUGAGUCAACCUUUUCUGUGAGUUCUUACCGUUUUGUUGUAAUACCAUGUUAUUGUUUUUAAAAGGUUGACUGUUUUGUAAACUUCCAUCACAUUUAGAGAGUAAGUAUUCAUACUUUGAUUUAGGAAUUAACACUAAUUCUUGAGCCAUGAUUCACUGGGUUUAAUUAACGCUAAAAACUGUUUGAAAUAUUUUAACAGAAUGGCUUUCCUCCUUUUUUAAGAGAGUCUUUUGGAUAUUACUUUACGUAUGACAUGUCUAUAUCGUUUCAAGUUCUUUUUAUCCUUUUCUGGAAUGACAAGAUUUCCCCUGAUAGCAUUGUAAAUCACCUCUAUAAGUGCAGCCAAUUGAGAUUUUGUUAAGUUUUUUAUCAACAUUGUUUGUUGUUUUUCAUUGGUGUUGAUCAUAAAUUUUAAAAAAUGUCUCUCCUUCUGUAGUUUAUCUUCCAUUUUUCUCCUUUUCAGGUAGAAAUACAAUGGGGGUUUGAUAUGGAAAGAUGUCUGUACGAAGUUUAUAUAACGGGUUAGAAUGUGGACUUACAUCCACCAGAAGCUUGGGGAUGUCUCGCCAGAACUUAGACAGAAUGCUGGAGAACUACGAUACAACUUCACAUUAACAUCCACUUGGUUUAACAGAUCGAGAUAGUCCAUCGAAUUCUGACCACUGAUUUGAAACUCAAUGGGAGUAUCAUCCGACACUUGGGAUAUUGGACGAAUCUCUUGAUAAUGGACAUCAUUCACCGCAACUUGUGUAGGAGCUCACUUUUCGCCUGGUUUACUGUCUGUUCCGAUGGGGAAACUGUGCUGAUUGUCAUACCAUUACUUCCCAUCUUCGACUUGUGUGGAAUGGCAAAUCCCCUCCCAACUUGAGAUCAUCCGGGGAUAUCGCCAUAUUGAAAACCCGCCAGAGGUUCGGUCCACGUCCAUGGUGCUCGGGAUGAGUCAUUGGAGGACGAAGAUCGGGUGUCCUUAUGCUGCCAUACAAUGUCGUUUUUAUGAUGUCCAAUUAUGUUCAAAAAUAAACAACUUGGAGAAUG